ensembl:rRNA 5S_rRNA 5S ribosomal RNA
GGCCACGGCCAUAGCACCCUGAACGCGCCCGAUCUCGUCUGAUCUCGGAAGCUAAGCAGGGUCAGGCCUGGUUAGUACUUGGAUGGGAGACAAUGCACCGACUUCAGAGCUUGUGUCUU